UACGUAGGGGGCAAGCGUUGUCCGGAAUCAUUUGGGCGUAAAGAGCGUGUAGGCGGCCCGGUAAGUCCGCUGUGAAAGUCCAGGGCUCAACCCUGGGAUGCCGGUGGAUACUGUCGGGCUCGAGUCCGGGAAGAGGAGUGUGGAAUUCCUGGUGUAGCGGUGAAAUGCGCAGAUAUCAGGAGGAACACCAAUGGCGAAGGCAGCACUCUGGGACGUGACUUGACGCUGAGACGCGAAAAGCGUG
rnacentral:rRNA from 1 species